rnacentral:rRNA from 1 species
AUUGAACGCUGGCGGCAUGCCUUACACAUGCAAGUCGAACGGUAACAGGUCUUCGGAUGCUGACGAGUGGCGAACGGGUGAGUAAUACAUCGGAACGUGCCUAGUAGUGGGGGAUAACUACUCGAAAGAGUGGCUAUACCGCAUGAGAUCUACGGAUGAAAGCAGGGGAUCGCAAGACCUUGUGCUACUACAGCGGCCGAUGGCAGAUUAGGUAGUUGGUGGGAUAAAAGCUUACCAAGCCGACGAUCUGUAGCUGGUCUGAGGGGACGAUCAGCCACACUGGGACUGAGACACGGCCCAGACUCCUACGGGAGGCAGCAGUGGGGAAUUUUGGACAAUGGGCGCAAGCCUGAUCCAGCAAUGCCGCGUGCAGGAUGAAGGCCUUCGGGUUGUAAACUGCUUUUGUACGGAACGAAAAGCCCUGGGUUAAUACCCUGGGGUAAUGACGGUACCGUAAGAAUAAGCACCGGCUAACUACGUGCCAGCAGCCGCCGUAACAC